GAUCCUGGCUCAGGACGAACGCCGGCGGCGUGCUUAACACAUGCAAGUCGAACGAGAAUCUACUGAAAGAGUCUUCGGACAAUGGAUGUAGAGGAAAGUGGCGGACGGGUGAGUAACGCGUGAGGAACCUGCCUUGAAGAGGGGGACAACAGUUGGAAACGACUGCUAAUACCGCAUGACGCAUAGAGGUCGCAUGAUCUUUAUGCCAAAGAUUUAUCGCUUCAAGAUGGCCUCGCG
rnacentral:rRNA from 1 species